rnacentral:sRNA from 1 species
UUGUAGAGGAUCUUCAGGGACAGGCUCUGGGCAUUUAGUGAAAGAGACAGCGAUUCCUUUGCCUAUACUCUGGUGGUUUAGAAAAGGACCUCAGGGAACAUUUGUUUUGUUUUGUUUUGUUUUCCUUUUGAUUAAGGCAUUUGGGGUCCAGAAAAGAAGAUUAAAGCAGGAUCCGUUUAAUUUAUUUAGUUUGCCUCACAGACAUGAAGCUUCAGAAUGGUCGUCCCAUUCCACCUACAUCCUCGCCUAGUCUCCUCCCAUCUGCUCAGCUGCCUAGCUCCCAUAAUCCUCCACCAGUUAGCUGCCAGAUGCCAUUGCUAGACAGCAACACCUCCCAUCAAAUCAUGGACACCAACCCUGAUGAGGAAUUCUCCCCCAAUUCAUACCUGCUCAGAGCAUGCUCAGGGCCCCAGCAAGCCUCCAGCGGUGGCCCUCCGAACCACCACAGCCAGUCGACUCUGAGGCCCCCUCUCCCACCCCCUCACAACCACACGCUG